UAUCUCCUGCCUGAUAUCAAAAGAUAAAGCCCCUUGCAACAUUAUUAAAAUGUAUACAUCCCAAACCUGUCAAUGAGUGGCAGGGGGUGGCAGUGCCUGUCAUAUCUCUGCUUUUGGAAAAGAUCAGAACUCUGAUGGCACAGCCAUACUUCAGUUUCCAUGGCAGACCUCAGACAAGAUGUUCCCCAGGAGAGUUUUUUGAUAUCACCAUUUUUCAGAGAAUGGACUUCAUUCUAUUGGAGAUCCCAUCUCAGGCAGCCUAAAGUGAUUAUGGAGCAGCAGUGCAGCAGCAGCAUUAUUGCUGUGGGAGUGCUGAUGCUCUUGGUUGCAGUUCUCUCCCCAUGGGAAGACUUGUCUGCUUCUGAGUGCAGCCUUAAUUACAAAGCUGGAAUUACAUCCUACUAGUGAUGAAAAAAUUUUUUUGGCUGAGAAACUCUACAUUGGUAGACCUUCUGUCACAGCUGUCAAACACAAGGAGAGAAAAGGAAUUAUUUGCAGAAUCACAGGAUGGAUAAUGCAAUGAUGCCAUUAUUUGAGUGCUCAAGGAUGUUCUACCUGAUGAAGAAAAUCCAGACAGCAUUUCUUUUAUAAACUCCAUGUCUUUCUCUUUUAAAUGUUCCAUUUUCACCUACUAUGAAGAGACAACAAGCGCAUUUAUCCAGCCUGAAAGAUGAAGCCACAGGCAGAACAACCAAUUUUCUAUUCUCAUGUAAUCAGUUUUCCAGCUUCAAUUUUAAUUUGAUGGGAAAUACAAAAAAAAUUUGGAGCAGUUUGCACUAACUCAGCUGUAAUCAGAAAUACUGAUUUUUGGCUGAUUUCAAUGCUUGUGCUUACUUGUGGUUCCCUCAAAGACCUGAAAAAUAAAAAUAAAUAUAUUUUAGCAGCUUUU